rnacentral:rRNA from 1 species
GACGAACGCUGGCGGCGUGCUUAACACAUGCAAGUCGAACGGAAAGGCCCUGCUUUUGUGGGGUGCUCGAGUGGCGAACGGGUGAGUAACACGUGAGUAACCUGCCCUUGACUUUGGGAUAACUUCAGGAAACUGGGGCUAAUACCGGAUAGGAGCUCCUGCUGCAUGGUGGGGGUUGGAAAGUUUCGGCGGUUGGGGAUGGACUCGCGGCUUAUCAGCUUGUUGGUGGGGUAGUGGCUUACCAAGGCUUUGACGGGUAGCCGGCCUGAGAGGGUGACCGGCCACAUUGGGACUGAGAUACGGCCCAGACUCCUACGGGAGGCAGCAGUGGGGAAUAUUGCACAAUGGGCGGAAGCCUGAUGCAGCGACGCCGCGUGCGGGAUGACGGCCUUCGGGUUGUAAACCGCUUUCGCCUGUGACGAAGCGUGAGUGACGGUAAUGGGUAAAGAAGCACCGGCUAACUACGUGCCAGCAGCCGCGGUGAUACGUAGGGUGCGAGCGUUGUCCGGAUUUAUUGGGCGUAAAGGGCUCGUAGGUGGUUGAUCGCGUCGGAGGUGUAAUCUUGGGGCUUAACCCUGAGCGUGCUUUCGAUACGGGUUGACUUGAGGAAGGUAGGGGAGAAUGGAAUUCCUGGUGGAGCGGUGGAAUGCGCAGAUAUCAGGAGGAACACCAGUGGCGAAGGCGGUUCUCUGGGCCUUUCCUGACGCUGAGGAGCGGAAGCGUGGGGAGCGAACAGGCUUAGAUACCCUGGUAGUCCACGCUGUAAACGGUGGGUACUAGGUGUGGGGUCCAUUCCACGGGUUCCGUGCCGUAGCUAACGCUUUAAGUACCCCGCCUGGGGAGUACGGCCGCAAGGCUAAAACUCAAAGGAAUUGACGGGGCCCCGCACAAGCGGCGGAGCAUGCGGAUUAAUUCGAUGCAACGCGUAGAACCUUACCUGGGUUUGACAUGGAUCGGGAGUGCUCAGAGAUGGGUGUGCCUCUUUUGGGGUCGGUUCACAGGUGGUGCAUGGCUGUCGUCAGCUCGUGUCGUGAGAUGUUGGGUUAAGUCCCGCAACGAGCGCAACCCUUGUUCACUGUUGCCAGCACGUUAUGGUGGGGACUCAGUGGAGACCGCCGGGGUCAACUCGGAGGAAGGUGGGGAUGACGUCAAGUCAUCAUGCCCCUUAUGUCCAGGGCUUCACGCAUGCUACAAUGGCUGGUACAGAGAGUGGCGAGCCUGUGAGGGUGAGCGAAUCUCGGAAAGCCGGUCUCAGUUCGGAUUGGGGUCUGCAACUCGACCUCAUGAAGUCGGAGUCGCUAGUAAUCGCAGAUCAGCAACGCUGCGGUGAAUACGUUCCCGGG